rnacentral:rRNA from 1 species
AUUGAACGCUGGCGGCAUGCCUUACACAUGCAAGUCGAACGGCAGCAUAGGAGCUUGCUCCUGAUGGCGAGUGGCGAACGGGUGAGUAAUAUAUCGGAACGUGCCCUAGAGUGGGGGAUAACUAGUCGAAAGACUAGCUAAUACCGCAUACGAUCUACGGAUGAAAGUGGGGGAUCGCAAGACCUCAUGCUCCUGGAGCGGCCGAUAUCUGAUUAGCGAGUUGGUGGGGUAAAAGCUCACCAAGGCGACGAUCAGUAGCUGGUCUGAGAGGACGACCAGCCACACUGGGACUGAGACACGGCCCAGACUCCUACGGGAGGCAGCAGUGGGGAAUUUUGGACAAUGGGGGCAACCCUGAUCCAGCAAUGCCGCGUGAGUGAAGAAGGCCUUCGGGUUGUAAAGCUCUUUUGUCAGGGAAGAAACGGUUCUGGAUAAUACCUGGAGCUAAUGACGGUACUUGAAGAAUAAGCACCGACUAACUACGUGCCAGCCGCCGCCGUAA